rnacentral:rRNA from 1 species
UAUACAUGCAGUCGAGCGAACAGAUAAGGAGCUUGCUCCUUUGACGUUAGCGGCGGACGGGUGAGUAACACGUGGGUAACCUACCUAUAAGACUGGGAUAACUUCGGGAAACCGGAGCUAAUACCGGAUAACAUUUGGAACCGCAUGGUUCUAAAGUGAAAGAUGGUUUUGCUAUCACUUAUAGAUGGACCCGCGCCGUAUUAGCUAGUUGGUAAGGUAACGGCUUACCAAGGCAACGAUACGUAGCCGACCUGAGAGGGUGAUCGGCCACACUGGAACUGAGACACGGUCCAGACUCCUACGGGAGGCAGCAGUAGGGAAUCUUCCGCAAUGGGCGAAAGCCUGACGGAGCAACGCCGCGUGAGUGAUGAAGGGUUUCGGCUCGUAAAACUCUGUUAUUAGGGAAGAACAAAUGUGUAAGUAACUGUGCACAUCUUGACGGUACCUAAUCAGAAAGCCACGGCUAACUACGUGCCAGCAGCCGCGGUAAUACGUAGGUGGCAAGCGUUAUCCGGAAUUAUUGGGCGUAAAGCGCGCGUAGGCGGUUUCUUAAGUCUGAUGUGAAAGCCCACGGCUCAACCGUGGAGGGUCAUUGGAAACUGGGAAACUUGAGUGCAGAAGAGGAAAGUGGAAUUCCAUGUGUAGCGGUGAAAUGCGCAGAGAUAUGGAGGAACACCAGUGGCGAAGGCGACUUUCUGGUCUGUAACUGACGCUGAUGUGCGAAAGCGUGGGGAUCAAACAGGAUUAGAUACCCUGGUAGUCCACGCCGUAAACGAUGAGUGCUAAGUGUUAGGGGGUUUCCGCCCCUUAGUGCUGCAGCUAACGCAUUAAGCACUCCGCCUGGGGAGUACGACCGCAAGGUUGAAACUCAAAGGAAUUGACGGGGACCCGCACAAGCGGUGGAGCAUGUGGUUUAAUUCGAAGCAACGCGAAGAACCUUACCAAAUCUUGACAUCCUUUGAAAACUCUAGAGAUAGAGCCUUCCCCUUCGGGGGACAAAGUGACAGGUGGUGCAUGGUUGUCGUCAGCUCGUGUCGUGAGAUGUUGGGUUAAGUCCCGCAACGAGCGCAACCCUUAAGCUUAGUUGCCAUCAUUAAGUUGGGCACUCUAGGUUGACUGCCGGUGACAAACCGGAGGAAGGUGGGGAUGACGUCAAAUCAUCAUGCCCCUUAUGAUUUGGGCUACACACGUGCUACAAUGGACAAUACAAAGGGCAGCUAAACCGCGAGGUCAUGCAAAUCCCAUAAAGUUGUUCUCAGUUCGGAUUGUAGUCUGCAACUCGACUACAUGAAGCUGGAAUCGCUAGUAAUCGUAGAUCAGCA